UACGGAGGGUGCAAGCGUUAUCCGGAAUCACUGGGUUUAAAGGGUGCGUAGGCGGUCUGAUAAGUCAGAGGUGAAAUACUGUCGCUCAACGAUAGCAUUGCCUUUGAUACUGUUGGACUUGAAUCAGAAUGAGGUUAGCGGAAUGUGACAUGUAGCGGUGAAAUGCAUAGAUAUGUCAUGGAACACCGAUUGCGAAGGCAGCUGACUGGAACUAGAUUGACGCUGAUGCACGAAAGCGUGGGGAGCGAACAGG
rnacentral:rRNA from 1 species